GAGGGUAUAGCUCAGUGGUACAGUGCAUGCUUAGCAUGCAUGAGGUGCUGGGUUCAAUCCCCAGUACCUCCU
rnacentral:tRNA from 1 species